rnacentral:rRNA from 1 species
GACGAACGCUGGCGGCGUGCUUAACACAUGCAAGUCGAACGAAGAGCGAUGGAAGCUUGCUUCUAUCAAUCUUAGUGGCGAACGGGUGAGUAACGCGUAAUCAACCUGCCCUUCAGAGGGGGACAACAGUUGGAAACGACUGCUAAUACCGCAUACGAUCUAAUCUCGGCAUCGAGGAUAGAUGAAAGGUGGCCUCUACAUGUAAGCUAUCACUGAAGGAGGGGAUUGCGUCUGAUUAGCUAGUUGGAGGGGUAACGGCCCACCAAGGCGAUGAUCAGUAGCCGGUCUGAGAGGACGAACGGCCACAUUGGGACUGAGACACGGCCCAGACUCCUACGGGAGGCAGCAGUGGGGAAUCUUCCGCAAUGGACGAAAGUCUGACGGAGCAACGCCGCGUGAGUGAUGACGGCCUUCGGGUUGUAAAGCUCUGUUAAUCGGGACGAAAGGCCUUCUUGCGAAUAGUUA